GCCUGGAUAGCUCAGUUGGUUAGAGUGUGGUGUUGAUAAUGCCAAGGUUGCAGGAUCAAUCCCCGCAUGGGAUA